rnacentral:hammerhead_ribozyme from 1 species
AUCUGAUGAGUCCCAAAUAGGGCGAAACGCACGUUCUAGAU